rnacentral:rRNA from 1 species
AAUGAACGCUGGCGGCGUGCUUUACACAUGCAAGUUGAGCGAGGCCACCCGCAAGGGUGAGUCGAGCGGCGAACGGGUGAGUAACGCGUGGAUAACCUGCCCUGAGGUGGGGAAUAACCCGGGAAACUCGGGCGUAAUACCGCAUGAUACCUAGCGGUCAAAGGGGGCGUCGCAAGAGCUCUUGCCACAGGAGGGGUCCGCGUUCGAUUAGCUAGUUGGUAGGGUAAUGGCCUACCAAGGCGGCGAUCGAUAGCCGGCCUGAGAGGGUGAUCGGCCACACUGGAACUGAGACACGGUCCAGACUCCUACGGGAGGCAGCAGUGGGGAAUUUUGCGCAAUGGGCUAACGCCUGACGCAGCAACGCCGCGUGGAGGAUGAAGGUCUUUGG